rnacentral:rRNA from 1 species
GACGAACGCUGGCGGCGUGCUUAACACAUGCAAGUCGAACGGAAAGGCCCUGCUUUUGUGGGGUGCUCGAGUGGCGAACGGGUGAGUAACACGUGAGUAACCUGCCCUUGACUUUGGGAUAACUUCAGGAAACUGGGGCUAAUACCGGAUAGGAGCUCCUGAUGCAUGGUGGGGGUUGGAAAGUUUCGGCGGUUGGGGAUGGACUCGCGGCUUAUCAGCUUGUUGGUGGGGUAGUGGCUUACCAAGGCUUUGACGGGUAGCCGGCCUGAGAGGGUGACCGGCCACAUUGGGACUGCGAUACGGCCCAGACUCCUACGGGAGGCAGCAGUGGGGAAUAUUGCACAAUGGGCGGAAGCCUGAUGCAGCAACGCCGCGUGCGGGAUGACGGCCUUCGGGUUGUAAACCGCUUUCGCCUGUGACGAAGCGUGAGUGACGGUAAUGGGUAAAGAAGCACCGGCUAACUACGUG